rnacentral:rRNA from 1 species
GAUGAACGCUGGCGGCGUGCCUAAUACAUGCAAGUCGAGCGAACAGACGAGGAGCUUGCUCCUCUGACGUUAGCGGCGGACGGGUGAGUAACACGUGGAUAACCUACCUAUAAGACUGGGAUAACUUCGGGAAACCGGAGCUAAUACCGGAUAAUAUAUUGAACCGCAUGGUUCAAUAGUGAAAGACGGUUUUGCUGUCACUUAUAGAUGGAUCCGCGCCGCAUUAGCUAGUUGGUAAGGUAACGGCUUACCAAGGCAACGAUGCGUAGCCGACCUGAGAGGGUGAUCGGCCACACUGGAACUGAGACACGGUCCAGACUCCUACGGGAGGCAGCAGUAGGGAAUCUUCCGCAAUGGGCGAAAGCUUGACGGAGCAACGCCGCGUGAGUGAUGAAGGUCUUCGGACCGUAAAACUCUGUUAUUAGGGAAGAACAAAUGUGUAAGUAACUAUGCACGUCUUGACGGUACCUAAUCAGAAAGCCCCGGCUAACUACGUG